CCGGGACGGGUGAGUAACGCGUGGGUAACCUGCCUCAUACAGGGGGAUAACAGUUAGAAAUGGCUGCUAAUACCGCAUAAGCGCACAGGACCGCAUGGUCUGGUGUGAAAAACUCCGGUGGUAUGAGAUGGACCCGCGUCUGAUUAGCUAGUUGGAGGGGUAACGGCCCACCAAGGCGACGAUCAGUAGCCGGCCUGAGAGGGUGAACGGCCACAUUGGGACUGAGACACGGCCCAG
rnacentral:rRNA from 1 species